rnacentral:rRNA from 1 species
GUUAGGAAUAUUGGACAAUGGGCGCAAGCCUGAUCCAGCCAUGCCGCGUGAGUGAUGAAGGCCUUCGGGUUGUAAAGCUCUUUAGCCGAUGAUUAUAAUGACUGUAGUCGGAAAAUAAGCCCCGGCUAACUUCGUGCCAGCAGCCGCGGUAAUACGAAGGGGGCGAGCGUUAUUCGGAAUCACUGGGCGUAAAGCGUGCGUAGGCGGCUUUGCAAGUUGGGAGUGAAAGCCCAGGGCUCAACCCUGGAAUUGCUCUCAAAACUGCAAGGCUCGAAUUCGGGAGAGGAUAGCGGAAUUGUCAGUGUAGCAGUGAAAUGCGUAGAUAUUGACAGGAACACCAGUGGCGUAAGCGGCUAUCUGGACCGAUAUUGACGCUGAGGCACGAAAGCGUGGGGAUCAAACAGGAUUAGAAACCCUUUAGUCC